UACAGAGGGGGCAAGCGUUGUUCGGAAUUACUGGGCGUAAAGCGCACGUAGGCGGAUUGUUAAGUCAGGGGUGAAAUCCCGGAGCUCAACUCCGGAACUGCCUUUGAUACUGGCAAUCUUGAGGCUGGAAGAGGUUAGUGGAAUUCCCAGUGUAGAGGUGAAAUUCGUAGAUAUUGGGAAGAACACCAGUGGCGAAGGCGGGUCUCUGGGCAGUAACUGACGCUGAGGAGCGAAAGCGUGGGGAGCGAACAGG
rnacentral:rRNA from 1 species